rnacentral:rRNA from 1 species
CCCUUAGAUGUUCUGGGCUGCACGCGCGCUACACUGAUGCGCUCAACGAGUUUACGAACUUGCCCGGAAGGGUUGGUUAAUCUUUUUAAAACGCAUCGUGAUGGGGAUAGAUUAUUGCAAUUAUUAAUCUUCAACGAGGAAUUCCUAGUAAGCGCGAGUCAUCAGCUCGCACUGAUUACGUCCCUGCCCUUUGUACACACCGCCCGUCGCUCCUACCGAUUGAGUGAUUUAGUGAGGACUUCGGACUGGGACCGAUGCGGCUUUCGGGCUGCGUCGGUAUUCUGGAAAGAUGUCCAAACUGUAUCAUUUAGAGGAAGUAAAAGUCGUAACA